UGGGGAAUAUUGGACAAUGGGGGCAACCCUGAUCCAGCAAUGCCGCGUGUGUGAAGAAGGUCUUCGGAUUGUAAAGCACUUUCGACGGGGACGAUGAUGACGGUACCCGUAGAAGAAGCCCCGGCUAACUUCGUGCCAGCAGCCGCGGUAAUACGAAGGGGGCUAGCGUUGCUCGGAAUGACUGGGCGUAAAGGGCGUGUAGGCGGUUUACACAGUCAGAUGUGAAAUCCCCGGGCUUAACCUGGGAGCUGCAUUUGAUACAUGUAGACUAGAGUGUGAGAGAGGGUUGUGGAAUUCCCAGUGUAGGGGUGAAAUUCGUAGAGUAUUGGGAAGAACACCGGUGGCGA
rnacentral:rRNA from 1 species